rnacentral:rRNA from 1 species
UACGUAGGGCGCAAGCGUUAUCCGGAAUUAUUGGGCGUAAAGAGCUCGUAGGCGGUUUGUCGCGUCUGCUGUGAAAGACCGGGGCUCAACUCCGGUUCUGCAGUGGGUACGGGCAGACUAGAGUGCAGUAGGGGGAGACUGGAAUUCCUGGUGUAGCGGUGAAAUGCGCAGAUAUCAGGAGGAACACCGAUGGCGAAGGCAGGUCUCUGGGCUGUAACUGACGCUGAGGAGCGAAAGCAUGGGGAGCGAACAGG